rnacentral:tRNA from 1 species
AAGAGGUAUAGAAUAAUUAAGGAGCUGCUAACUACCUUUUUAAGCGGUUAAAUUCCGUUUCCCUCUUA